rnacentral:ribozyme from 1 species
UGUUCGUCCUGGCGCAGACCUUUUCGUGGUCCUCGGGAUAAGUACUCUCCGGCUCAAGAAAGGUGUAUCAGCGCCCAAUACACGUCUAUUGAUGUCCUUCAUCCUGUAUUGGGUCCUGAUAUACUGUCGGUUGGGGAAACUAGCAUGCGC